GGCUAUAUUACAUUGAAACACCUGUUCCCAUAUGAUUACUGAAGUUAAGAAACAUUAAACCAGGUCAGUACCUAGAUGGGUGACAGCUUGGGAAUACCGGGUGCUGUAAG